AAUUCUCAACCUUUGAAAGCUUUUAUCGGUUCUCAAAGGCUUGGACUUGGAGGUCGUGUCGGCUCUGCAAAGAAUAUCGACUCCUCUGAAACGUAUCAGUGCGAACCUUUACGGAUCGUCUUCGGUGUGAUAAACGUCUACGCCGUGGUCGUGAAGUAUGAUCGUGUCCGUGCUUCUAACCGUCUCCUUUGCGAGACAAAAACUGUGUUACUUACUAUAAGUAACAUAGGCAUUGACA
rnacentral:misc_RNA from 2 species